GGACUCGGGGGGAAGUAUGCUCGCAAGAGUGAAACUUAAAGGAAUUGACGGAUCGGCACCACCAGAUGUGGAGCCUGCGGCUUAAUUUGACACGACACGGGGAAACUUACCAGGUCAAGACAUAGUAAGGAUUGACAGAUUGAAGUUCUUUCUUGAUUCUAUGCUUGGUGGUGCAUGGCCGUUCUUAGUUGGUGGAGUGAUUUGUCUGGUUAAUUCCGUUAACGAACGAGACCCCAUCGUUUAAAUAGUUGAAGCUAGUGCUUUUGGUUAGCGCUUACUUUGUAAGUUCAGCUUCUUAGACGGACAAUUCGUGUUUUCAGCGAAUGGAGGUUUGGGGCAAUAACAGGUCUGUGAUGCCCUUAGAUGCUCUGGGCUGCACGCGCGCUACAAUGAUACAGUCAACAAGCUUAACCUAUGUCGAAAGACAAUGGUAAACUGUAAACUGCAUCGUAGUUGGGAUAGACGAUUGCAAUUUUUCGUCUUGAACGAGGAAUAUCUCGUAAACGCAAGUCAUCAACUUGCAUUGAUUACGUCCCUGCCCAUUGUACACACCGCCCGUCGCUCCUACCGAUUGAAUUGUCCGGCGAACUGAGUAGAUAGACUCUUAAUUGAGUCUCUAAGCUCUGUGAGCCUUACAAUUUAGAGGAAGAACAAGUCGUAACAAGGAAGGGCGAAUUCCACAU
rnacentral:rRNA from 1 species